AUUGAACGCUGGCGGCAUGCUUUACACAUGCAAGUCGAACGGUAACAGGCCUUCGGGCGCUGACGAGUGGCGAACGGGUGAGUAAUGCAUCGGAACGUGCCCAGUCGUGGGGGAUAACGCAGCGAAAGCUGUGCUAAUACCGCAUACGAUCUGCGGAUGAAAGCGGGGGACUCGCAAGGGCCUCGCGCGAUUGGAGCGGCCGAUAUCAGAUUAGGUAGUUGGUGGGGUAAAGGCUCACCAAGCCGACGAUCUGUAGCUGGUCUGAGAGGACGACCAGCCACACUGGAACUGAGACACGGUCCAGACUCCUACGGGAGGCAGCAGUGGGGAAUUUUGGACAAUGGGCGCAAGCCUGAUCCAGCAAUGCCGCGUGCAGGAUGAAGGCCUUCGGGUUGUAAACUGCUUUGUACGGAACGAAACGGUCUGCUUUAAUACAGUGGGCUAAUGACGGUACCGUAAGAAUAAGCACCGGCUAACUACGUG
rnacentral:rRNA from 1 species